rnacentral:rRNA from 1 species
GAUGAACGCUGGCGGCGUGCCUAAUACAUGCAAGUCGAGCGAACGGACGAGAAGCUUGCUUCUCUGAUGUUAGCGGCGGACGGGUGAGUAACACGUGGAUAACCUACCUAUAAGACUGGGAUAACUUCGGGAAACCGGAGCUAAUACCGGAUAAUAUUUUGAACCGCAUGGUUCAAAAGUGAAAGACGGUCUUGCUGUCACUUAUAGAUGGAUCCGCGCUGCAUUAGCUAGUUGGUAAGGUAACGGCUUACCAAGGCAACGAUGCAUAGCCGACCUGAGAGGGUGAUCGGCCACACUGGAAGUGAGACACGGUCCAGACUCCUACGGGAGGCAGCAGUAGGGAAUCUUCCGCAAGGGGCGAAAGCCUGACGGAGCAACGCCGCGUGAGUGAUGAAGGUCUUCGGAUCGUAAAACUCUGUUAUUAGGGAAGAACAUAUGUGUAAGUAACUGUGCACAUCUUGACGGUACCUAAUCAGAAAGCCACGGCUAACUACGUG